CAUCCUUGCAGACGUGAACUUUUCUGUUAUUUGAGUUGAUUGAUUAAGGUAGACGGAAAAUAAUAAUAAAAUUCCGGGAUGAAAAUAUUACACAAACUUGUCGUGGUCACCACGGCAUUGUUCGGGGUUCCGAGUUUGUUGUACUUUAAAAAUGAUAAAAGUAAUCAGAGUCGAAAUGAGAGAUACGUUUGGCAGAGAGAUUCAAAAGUAUUGCCCCCAUUAUACAUCCGCCAAACGUAUGAUAUGCCGGAGGAGAAUUUGCAUAUUCAAAAUCUACCCAAUCAGGUGGAGUACCAAGCGUCACCACCCAGGAAUAAAUCAAUUUAUAGAAUUAAACCAUCCGUUCUGAUAAAAGCUCGUGUGAUUUACAACUUACGGCAAUCCAUGCGAACGGACUUACAGGGGUUUAAUAUCAGCUGGCAAAAGGGCAAGAAAAUUUUUGUUGAAGAAUUUAUAAGUAUCAGGAAUCACAAAAAACAAAACUUUUUGCAUAGAUCACAUUCCUGAUUUUGGUGGCAAACCGAUUCGCAACAUCAUAGUCUCCACUUGGCGCUCAGGCUCAACAUUUUUGGCUGAAUUGGUUAGCAGUCAUCCAGGAACUCUUCUAAUUUUUGAACCCUUCAUGUACAUGGAAAGUGAACGGAUUCGUCCAAAGUGGAGGUAUCAAAUGGGAUAACAAUGAGCAAAUCAAUUUUUAAUUGUUACUUUAAUUACACUGAGUGGACUGGAAAUGGCGGGAACUUCAUUUCCGGCAUGAUUAGUCGUAGCGACAAAAUGAAGCCAUUUUGAACCAUAGUCCAGGAUGGUUGUCGUGACCCUCAAUUUAUUUCGAAAGUCUGCACAUUCUUUCCCAUCCAACUCGUCAAAUUUGUAAGAUUUAGGUUGAAAGAUGCAGAGGAAUUGUUAUCGGAUGAAGAAUAUGAUACUCGUCUCAUUUACCUCGUCCGGGACCCAAGAGGAACAAUGAAGUCGAGGAAUAAUGGGUCAAACUACUGGUGUGACCAUCAUCCCGAUUGUUCUGAUGAGCGUCGUCUCUGUUCUGAUUUGGUGGACGAAUUUGCAGAUGCAAAAACUUUAAGGGAAAAAUACCCCAAGCGCUUCAAGGUCCUACGUUACGAAGACGUAUCAUUAAACGUACCACUCGCAGCGAAAACGAUUCUUCCCUUUUUCCGAUUAAGCUAUCAUUCGAAAGUCAAGCAGUUUGCUAUGCUUCAUUCGAGACUUACUCGAAAGGGUGAAUUUGGCACGUAUCGCAAUUCAAAAAAGGUUGCGUUUAGUUGGUUUAACUUUUAUCGCAAUAAUGUCACGCGUUUGGACAGAAUUCAAAAUUCUUGUGAAGAAGCGAUGGAUUUGUGGGGAUACAAACCUUUGGAUAUUAACCGGCUUGAGGUAGAUGAUGACGGUUAUCAAGGAAAUUACACACUAAAAGGGCUUGUUUUAGACCAACCACCUUGGGAGGAUAUGAAUUUUUUAUGAAUUUGUAUUGUCCUUUUUUCAAAUUAGGAUAGACUUAAAAUUGUAAAUAUGUAAUUAUGUCUGCGCAAAUAAAGCGCUCGACUGUGGGGCUGCAACUCCUCUGAA